GCUGGGUGUGGUGGCAUGUGCCUGUAAUCCCAGCUACUCAGGAGGCUGAGGCAGGGGAAUUGCUUGAACCCAGGAGGCCAAGGUUGCAGUGAUCUGAGAUUGAGCCACUGCAUUCUAGCCUGGGUGACACAGCGAGACCCUGUCUCAA
rnacentral:SRP_RNA from 1 species